GACGAACGCUGGCGGCGUGCUUAACACAUGCAAGUCGAACGGAAAGGCCCUGCUUUUGUGGGGUGCUCGAGUGGCGAACGGGUGAGUAACACGUGAGUAACCUGCCCUUGACUUUGGGAUAACUUCAGGAAACUGGGGCUAAUACCGGAUAGGAGCUCCUGCUGCAUGGUGGGGGUUGGAAAGUUUCGGCGGUUGGGGAUGGACUCGCGGCUUAUCAGCUUGUUGGUGGGGUAGUGGCUUACCAAGGCUUUGACGGGUAGCCGGCCUGAGAGGGUGACCGGCCACAUUGGGACUGAGAUACGGCCCAGACUCCUACGGGAGGCAGCAGUAGGGAAUAUUGCACAAUGGGCGGAAGCCUGAUGCAGCAACGCCGCGUGCGGGAUGACGGCCUUCGGGUUGUAAACCGCUUUCGCCUGUGACGAAGCGUGAGUGACGGUAAUGGGUAAAGAAGCACCGGCUAACUACGUGCCAGCAGCCGCGGUGAUGCGUAGGGUGCGAGCGUUGUCCGGAUUUAUUGGGCGUAAAGGGCUCGUAGGUGGUUGAUCGCGUCGGAAGUGUAAUCUUGGGGCUUAACCCUGAGCGUGCUUUCGAUACGGGUUGACUUGAGGAAGGUAGGGGAGAAUGGAAUUCCUGGUGGAGCGGUGGAAUGCGCAGAUAUCAGGAGGAACACCAGUGGCGAAGGCGGUUCUCUGGGCCUUUCCUGACGCUGAGGAGCGAAAGCGUGGGGAGCGAACAGGCUUAGAUACCCUGGUAGUCCACGCUGUAAACGGUGGGUACUAGGUGUGGGGUCCAUUCCACGGGUUCCGUGCCGUAGCUAACGCUUUAAGUACCCCGCCUGGGGAGUACGGCCGCAAGGCUAAAACUCAAAGGAAUUGACGGGGCCCCGCACAAGCGGCGGAGCAUGCGGAUUAAUUCGAUGCAACGCGUAGAACCUUACCUGGGUUUGACAUGGAUCGGGAGUGCUCAGAGAUGGGUGUGCCUCUUUUGGGGUCGGUUCACAGGUGGUGCAUGGCUGUCGUCAGCUCGUGUCGUGAGAUGUUGGGUUAAGUCCCGCAACGAGCGCAACCCUUGUUCACUGUUGCCAGCACGUUAUGGUGGGGACUCAGUGGAGACCGCCGGGGUCAACUCGGAGGAAGGUGGGGAUGACGUCAAGUCAUCAUGCCCCUUAUGUCCAGGGCUUCACGCAUGCUACAAUGGCUGGUACAGAGAGUGGCGAGCCUGUGAGGGUGAGCGAAUCUCGGAAAGCCGGUCUCAGUUCGGAUUGGGGUCUGCAACUCGACCUCAUGAAGUCGGAGUCGCUAGUAAUCGCAGAUCAGCAACGCUGCGGUGAAUACGUUCCCGGGGCU
rnacentral:rRNA from 1 species